rnacentral:lncRNA from 1 species
GGGAAUUCAUAGGUGAAUCCGAUGCCAGCGUCUCAUGAAGUGGAGUCUCGUUCAAGACUACCGUCGGACCGGUUGGAAUAAUUUGGAAUCUCUUACAAGUCUUCACCACCUCCCAACAAUGGGUAUGGUUGAAACUUUUUUUCCGUUGACCAGUAGCACCAAACCACAUUUGUGCUUGUAUAAUCUAUAAAAAAAAAUGAAAUGGAAAUGCAAGAGAAUUUUUAAAAUAUUGGCAAUGCAACAUGUAAAAAAAACUAAUGGAAAUUAAAGAAAUAAUAAAAAAAUGCAACAUGUAUUAAAAAAACUAGAGACAUAUUAACAGAAUAUAUAAAUUGCAAGAAACAUUUAAAUAAAAAUUAAUAUGACAUAGAAAUUAAUAGAAGAAAAAUGACAAAUAAUUUACCUCACUGCUAAGAUUUUCUCUGCUUCGAUGGUUGUCAAUCGCUUUUGCUAAGGCAUUUCUCCAUUUCCCCAACUCUUUAUUAAGAACUUUCCACCUACUGGAUAAUGUCAUUUCUGUACGUGUAGAACCAAUUGCCCUUUCACAAAAUGCUUGAUGAAUUUUUUUCCACAUAUGAGAAAAUUUAAUCUCAUUGCCCGUUACGGGACAAUGACUAACUUGGACCCAAGCCUCACACAAGCUAACAGCUUCCAUCAUGCUCCAUGCCCCUCUAUUUUCAUUAGAAGAACCCAUAAUAUGCUAGAAAAAAAUUACAACUUCAAAGUGAAAAAAUAUUGAAUAGAAAGUGAAUAAAUUUUGAGGAGAAAGUGAACAAUAGUAGAAGGAGAAGAAAAUAUAUGAGGAUUUGGUGUUAAAAAUGAAGAGUAUUGGUUGGUAUUUAUACACAAAAAAUUCUGUAAUUUUUGUGUAUUUUUUUUAAAAAAAUUCGAUUUUUUUUCAAUUUUUUAUUAUAGAAAAAUUGGCUGCCGUUGGAUUGAAGAAAAAAUUCCAAUCGGAGCGACCAGAGGUUGCCAAGUGUCAAGUACCCGUUGACGGCCACUGUAGCGGUGAUUUGAAAUUUUUUUUAACGUUGGCGCUUGCAAUGCACGCGCCAACGGUAAAAAAAAUUCAAAACCUCCAGGGCUGACGCCAGCAUGGCGUCAGCAAUUUUGUCCGCGCCCUCGGGCCUGAACUCGGGCCAAAAUCGCCUUCUGGCCUGCCCGUUUUGGUGGCCCCCAUGCUCGCCCGGACUGAGUCUUGGUUGCUGGACUUUGUUUUUUUGCCCAAACCCCCCCCAGCCCGAGUCCAACAGCACUGCUGGACUUGCUCUAAUAGAUGUUGACAGAAACCACUUGUUUCAAAUAGGACAAAACAAAGCCCUUCAAAUUUCAAACCUCCCAAUUUUAUUUUAUUUAGAAAAAAUGUGAUUCCUAUGGAGCUUGUACAUGUCAGUAGGUGGAAUUUACAUAAAGUUAGUCAGUCCUGAUUUCGAAUAUCUGUGUGUGACUUGGAAAGGAUAGAAAAAGAAAACUUAUUUACAUUAAUGCCCUUUAAGAUUUUUGGUAUUUUCACAAAAUUUUAGUAGGUUUUGAAAAUUACACUAGGAUUUCUUGAGGUUUCAAAUUAUUUUUACAAAGCCCUUUUGUUAUUUUUCCCUCCAAAAUUGCUAAUGGCAUAAAAAAAAUUUCUUCAAAUAAGAAAAGUAAUAACUUCAAUACCAUUUUUUUUUCCUUUUGUUUGGGCUCGCUCUCUGGCUAGCGAGGAGAGCCGUGCUAUAUAUUAGGGUUAGGUUCUCUUUUGUGUUCUACCAUCGUUGUCGCUUUAAUCUUGGAAGUGUUGGCCUCGCUUCUGUCUCUCUUUGUUCCCAAGCGAUAGCUUUUCCUUUGCUCGUCGUCUUUCCCUCUUGGUUUAGAGGUAAUCAUGUUUUGUCGAUUUGGGGUUCACGGCUAGGGUGCCCUAGAGUCGUCACUGCGGUCGUUGUUCACAGCUAGGGCUCUUUGCCCUAACAUCGUCACUUCAUCCUUUGGAUUGCCCUUGGGUCUAUUGUUGGGUCUUAUUUGCCUUAGUGUCGCAGCUAUUUUGUUUAACGCAGCUCCACUCCACCCUCUCGAUUGAAUCUUGGCUUUUGUGUGGUCGUGUGGGUCUGCAGCCUUCGUGAUGGCUUGGUGGUGAGGGUUGCGAUAAGGAAGUUUUGCGAGGUGCUGGUGGUGCACACUCAGAGUUUACAGGUGGUUGGCUUCUAGGCUUUUCUUGGGUAGUAUGGAUCUGGUGCGUUCUAGGAUCCUCUAUGUUAUAGCGUAAGUCCAAAUUUAUGGAUUUAUCUUAUCAAAUUUGAAUCAAGGGAUCUCGAUUAACAGCAAGGGGCCUGUAGCUCAAGUAGCAGUAACCUUUACAACUAAGAACAUGUGUUUGAAUCCCCCACCCCUCAUUAUCACUUAUGUCACAAAACAAAACAAAACAAAACAAAAAAUUGAUAUUAUAAAUAAACCAAACAUUAUUAUUAUUUAUUUGACCGCCAUAUAGAAACCUUUGGCUAGGGUACACUACUUCAUAAUUUUCUGAUUUUUUUAAUAAGAAAAAAUAAAAUUACAACCCAAACCCUUUUGGGCAAGCAGGUCCAAAGAGGUUGAAAUAAAAAGCAUUUACUAGAUAAAGGGGAACUCAAUUUCCCAUAAGUGUAAUUUUCUGAUGAUGUGAUGCAUGAUGAACUUUAGUUAAAAAUUUGUUUUAUGACAUUGCUUCAUCAUGAUAAACAUUGGUCCAUACUGAGCAUACAAAUUGAAAACAAAGGAAUUCAUAGAGCAUACAAUAUAUAUAUAUAUAUAUAUAUAUAUAUAUAUAUAUGACUUGGUAGGUUUCAGACUUGAUCAGGGACACGAGAUUUCCUCAGGCGUGUCAUAUGGGCCAGCAAUUUUUGGUAGUCAGGAAGGUUGUCUUUGAUCACAGGAACUUGCUUGAAAUUCUGAACCCAUGCAUGCAGCCGAGGCAAAGUGCUUGCCUCCAGAACCUUGACACCAACCAUUUCUUCAAUGGCCUCAAACCAGUGAGGCACCCAACCAUGUGUUAUGUCUACUAAGCUUAUAGUUUCACCCCCAAAAAACUUAUUGUCUCCUAGGCCUUGCUCUUCCAAUAUUUUCAGGGUUUCCAAUACUGCUUUUAUUGUCUUUUCUCCCUCUGCCCCGGCAGUUAAUUCGAAGAAUGCACCAAAAAUGGGAGCCUGAUAAAUAAAUUCAAAGUAC